rnacentral:rRNA from 1 species
GACGAACGCUGGCGGCGUGCUUAACACAUGCAAGUCGAACGGAAAGGUCCUGCUUUUGUGCGGUGCUCGAGUUACGAACUGGUGAGUAACCCGUGAGUAACCAGCCACUGCCUUUGGGAUAACUUCAGACAACUGGGGCUCAUCCCGGCAAGGAGCUCCUGCUGCUUGGUGGGGGCUGGUUAGUUUAGGCGGUUGGGGAUGGAAUCGCGGCGUAUCAGCUUGUUGGAGUGGUAGUGGCUUACCAAGGCUUUGACGGGUAGCCGGGCUGAGGGGGGGACCGGCCACAUUGGGAUUGAGAUGCGACCCAGACUACUACGGGAGGCAGCGGUGGAGUAGAGUGUACUAUGGGCUGAAGCCUGAUGCAGCAAAGCCGCGUGCGGUAUGACAGCCUGCGGGUUGUAUACCGCUUUCGCCUGUGACGGAACGUGAGUGACAGUAAUGGGUAAAGAAGCUCCGGCUAACUACGUG